GGAGACAUGGCCUACCGGUCUAAGGCGCUGGCUUAAGGCACCAGUCUCUUCGGAGGCGUGUGUUCGAAUCCCACUCUCUUCA
rnacentral:tRNA from 1 species